CGCCCUUCAGUGCCGCAGCUAACGCAUUAAGCAUUCCGCCUGGGGAGUACGACCGCAAGGUUGAAACUCAAAGGAAUUGACGGGGGCCCGCACAAGCGGUGGAGCAUGUGGUUUAAUUCGAAGCAACGCGAAGAACCUUACCAGGUCUUGACAUCUUUUGAUCACCUGAGAGAUCAGGUUUCCCCUUCGGGGGCAAAAUGACAGGUGGUGCAUGGUUGUCGUCAGCUCGUGUCGUGAGAUGUUGGGUUAAGUCCCGCAACGAGCGCAACCCUUAUGACUAGUUGCCAGCAUUUAGUUGGGCACUCUAGUAAGACUGCCGGUGACAAACCGGAGGAAGGUGGGGAUGACGUCAAAUCAUCAUGCCCCUUAUGACCUGGGCUACACACGUGCUACAAUGGAUGGUACAACGAGUUGCGAGACCGCGAGGUCAAGCUAAUCUCUUAAAGCCAUUCUCAGUUCGGACUGUAGGCUGCAACUCGCCUCCA
rnacentral:rRNA from 2 species